UCCUUGGCUCUUGAUCUGAAU
ensembl:piRNA 21ur-2351 ncRNA